rnacentral:rRNA from 1 species
UACGUAGGGUGCAAGCGUUAAUCGGAAUUACUGGGCGUAAAGCGUGCGCAGGCGGUCUUGCAAGACAGAUGUGAAAUCCCCGGGCUCAACCUGGGAACGGCAUUGGAAACUGGCUUACUAGAGUGCGGUAGAGGGGUGUGGAAUUCCCGGUGUAGCAGUGAAAUGCGUAGAUAUCGGGAGGAACAUCUGUGGCGAAGGCGACACCCUGGACCAGCACUGACACUGAGGCACGAAAGCGUGGGGAGCAAACAGG